rnacentral:tRNA from 1 species
GCCGGAGUGGCGGAAUAGGCAGACGCAAGGGACUUAAAAUCCCUCGUCCCUCGGGACGUGCCGGUUCAAGUCCGGCCUCCGGCA